rnacentral:rRNA from 1 species
ACCCCUACGGGAGGCAGCAGUGGGGAAUAUUGCGCAAUGGGGGCAACCCUGACGCAGCCAUGCCGCGUGUGUGAAGAAGGCCUUAGGGUUGUAAAGCACUUUCAAAAGCGAGGAAAAGCUCAUGCCUAAUACGUAUGAGCCCUGACGUUAACUUAAGAUGAAGCACCGGCUAACUCCGUGCCAGCAGCCGCGGUAA